rnacentral:tRNA from 1 species
GCCGCAGUGGUGGAAUUGGUAGACACGCCGGACUCAAAAUCCUGUGAGCAUUACGCUCGUGACGGUUCAAGUCCGUCCUGCGGCACCA